AUCAGAUAACAUUUUACCGUCCUUCGUAGCUCAAUUCACCGUAGUUCUCUUCGUCUCUCCAAUAAUCCUUUUCGAUAUUUCUUAAAGAAUACGGAACGAAUAAAUCAUUAUUCGUUCGUUCUUUCUUUUAUUGCCGUACUCGACCUAUGUAUGGCUGAUUGCAAUUAUUCAUGUAUGAAUAGAAUCGUCUUCUAGAAUAUGUAACUUUUGAAUUAUUCGCUGACAUGAACAAGAGCACGCGCGCAUGCGCACUCAAGCUCUAUAUAACGCUGAUCAGAAUUAUUACGCGCGACAAUAUAUGCAGUUAAACAAUCGUCAGAUCUAACGUGGUUUCAUACAGCUACGAUUUAAAGUUCGAAACGUAUUAGGGGAAUAGAAGCUUCAUUCAAAAAGACACGUCGUAUUUGAAUGACGUUUUGAAGUUAGAAAGUUCGAAAGCGAUUCCGUACGUAGGUUAAGUAAGUGUCUAUUAAGGUUAUCUUUAGGUUUUCUCUGGGACAUUACAACGGGUAGAGACACACGCACAAAGGUCUAACAAGAAAAUGAAGGACGAACAUUGGAAGCGAACCAUGGCUCAUUGUUCGUAUGAGAUAUCCCUACACUCGUUUUUUCAUUAGCUACGAAAUGACGAGACUCGUAACGACCUGCGUUGUCGUCAAAGAUAAAAAAGCCCAGAUACACAGUAGCGAUCCAUGUCGCUCGAAUUUACAAGUGAGGUAAAAUUUGAAUUUUAACCUAGAACAAUGUGGACGGUCCUUUAUCUUGCAGUGGGACAUACACUCGACAGGCUGGAAACAAAUCCCUGGACUCUGUCUUAUGCAACGACGAUAACAAACCUGAUAUCAUUGCUAGUGGAACCAGCGCCAUUUUCUCGUCCACGACUAUUUUACGUAUCUGGAGGCAGAUGAAAAGAAAAAAGGUUACGACGGAGUGAAACAAAAUGGGGAUAAAAAGUGAAUAAAAAACAAAUUCUAAGGAGCAGUGGCGGCCAAGGCGCGAAAUAUGUUUACAAUUGUAUUUUCAUCCGAGGCAUCGCUUCUGGCAAGCUUCUUCCUGAUAAUGGAGCAAAACGUCAUACGUUCAUUUUGGAAGGGAUCGCAGAGUUUUGAAGGAUACGAGAUGAGCGAUAUACGGAAGACCUUGAAUUUUCUUUAAAAAGAGAAAUGGACCAAGAGAAGGUAAAAAAAGAGAAAAAUAUAAAGAAAGUCAAAUAUUUAUGAGUCGAGUCUAUCGAAUGAAUGUACCCGAUGCAAAGAUCACAGGGUAUGGAUAAUAUAUCUAUAUAUGCUUAAUGUUUCCUCUUUCAUUCCUUUACAGAACUUUUUACUCGACGUCUUCGAGAAAAUAAAUUUGUCAGGAGACAAUUUCAUUUCUGGCCGGUCUGAAGAACUCAGGAUACCGCGCACCCGGGCAAGCACGCUUUUAUCUGGGUUCCGAGGCAUGCUUUGGAUGCAGAACUCAAAAGAAAUGGCCGUCAAGAAAAUUCAAUUAACGAAAUACACGAAGGCCAUACCCCACAUCGUGGGACAUUCGAAGGCGUGAAAACAGUAUCGAACAACGUGACGUUAGUCGAAAGUGAAGUUAGGGAUGAGAAUUAGUGAAACGAAAUUAGAGGAUACAGAGAUCAAAGUUUACUCAACGCGUAAUCAGAUAAUGAGGUUAUCCCAGGGCUGAUAACGAUUCGUCCAUGUUGAAUUCCUAUUUGCGGAAUUAUUCAAUUAACAGCUGACUAGGAGGGUCGGUGGGCCAACACUUUCGUUUAGCCGAGUGGCAGUUCGUGAGAGCUCGGGUACUUUCGUGCCAUUAAUUAAGGAAGGUACUUGUCCACUGGUGUUUUCUACCCUUAGUCUCUUUACACUGUUAAGGAUGGGCAUGGGUGGUGGUUGUCUUUCUUUCCUACCCCCGCACACUCUUCUGACAUGACUACCUCACUUCUGUACAGCCUCCAACCAUCCCUCAGCCGAAUUCCCAGCUGAUUAGCUUGCAGCUUCCACCCACCUAUCAACCCCUAUCCCUUUCUAGGCCGCUGCACUCUAACCCAACCCAACCUAACCUACCCCAAAGCACCGGUCGAAUUACCAACGAAAAACAGCACGCGACCUGCCUGCACUUUAAUCCCUUCCAUCGGGUUGGUGAAAGUGAGUUUCUUGACGCGUGGUUUCGCUGAGAGCUUUCGAGAGGGUUGCUACCCUUUCAUCCUGUUUGCCAAGCGAAUACGUUUGGCAAAAGUCUUUCGAGAUGUCGCAUGCAAACUACAAGGUUGUAACAGUUGGUAACUCCUUGCCUGGUCAAAGUGCCUGAAAGGGGAUGAUUUUCAAAUUAAUCAACAACCCUGUUUCUAGCUUCAAGCCCAGAUCAAAAAUUUCUCUUGGUUAUACAAUUUUUUUCAUUAACCGACGUUACCCGGUGCAUCUGGAGUAAACGAGACUCGUACAGUACUUGCUUAUGAGGGUGGAAAAUGAAUUAGAGUAUUCUGGAGCUUUGGGGGUUGAAAUUGUAUUUCCGGCUGUGGCUGAGAAUAAUAUUUAAGAGGAAAAUGUACUGUUUAAAUAUUAUCAGCAUGGAUAGCAGAGUCUAGUGUAUUAUUGAUAUUUUUCAUAAAUUUCCUACGUUUGUAUUUACCGGUAAGCUUUUAAAGGCGCUUGGACCUUCCACAAGUAAACUCGAGUAUUCAAUUGAUGCAUUAGGUAAAGUUUCGUAAAAGCUGGAAAAAGCUUGGAGGAGUUCUUUAUAAUACAUGGAAAUCAGCCCUGACGUAUUUAUAUCGACUUAUUGAAUUUCCUUUUCUGCUUACAUUUUCCAUCGAGCAUUUAUUCUUGUGCAAACUUUCGAAACGAGUGAACUCAGCGAUAUCUCACGGUGAUACCGUGGACGUUUUAAUGACUUCGGACUGACUUUGUUUUACUUUGAAUAAUUUGUGCUCUCCUGUCUCAGCGAAUUCCUCGAUAAUGUUUCCAUUUGGAGAUUCCUUGUACCUUUCGCAGUCAGAUGGGUUAGCAAUACGUUUCUGUAAUCUUCAGCAAUACUUUAUACGUCUUACCAAGCAGAUGCGAAUUUACCUUAGAAAUAUGAAGAAUCAUUUCUUUAGUCUGAUUUACUUUUCAGAUAUUCAUCGAGAGGGAUCGAGGGUGGCUGAUUAAAAUUUUUAUAAGUAUAAUGGCACGUUGCGUGACCGCCAGACUUGCCACCCUAAGGAGGAUCGAGAAAUAAAUAUGCAUAUCGACCCUGAUGAGAAACCAACAAAAAAAAACGAAAAGGCCAAUAGAAGAGAAAGUAACGCAAGGAGUAAAGGCAAGAGCGUGUCAGACUUACGUUCAGGGGUUGAACGGCCGGCAUUUCGUGAUCCAGCCAGGGGUUGUCUGGUAGGUAAAGGAGAAUUUUCUUUAAGGGUGCCCGGGUAUAUCCUAUCCUACAGGUAUAUAAAAUCAGUAACCAGGAGUAGCAAACAUGUAAGACUGACACAGAGCAAAGAUAGUGGAUGAAAAAAAAGAAGAAUAAGAAUCCCUUUGAUAAAAUCUGUGGAUCGCGAGCCAAGGGGUAAUGGAUCUUUCGGACGCGAUAAAUUAUCUGCCGGCUGAAAUUCCUCGCGGAUGCCCACCAGGUAUCUCUAGGGGGUAGAUGGGUAGCGGCUGCUUGGGUAUUAAAUCGGCGCGACACGCCCCUGCAAAAAGAAGUCGCUACGUGUAUUCUCGAUAAGGGAAACGAUUUAUUCGGUCUAAAAAUUUCAAUCCGGAUUUACCCGUCUGAUCCGCCAUAUUUAACUGAAUUAGCUAACAAUUGUUUUUUUAGGCUGGACUGGACCGAGUACACCCUGUGAACUGGUAAGGGUGCUUUUUUUUUUAAGGAUGGAACCUCAUGCAACGUGGCGAAACGUCUCUAAAAUUUUACAAACGAAUUCAAACGGGGGUGCGGUCUUUGACGAGUGGCUCGCGUGUCCUUGCUAUCUGAUAAGAAUUAUUCUUGUCUCGCUACUUAACUAAUUUGCUGUUUCGCAGGUAUUUCCAAAAACACCCAGGCGCUCGUCUCUACGUGGAUUUGAAAAUUUUUACGAAAAUUUAUCCACCGGCAGCUGUUUAAUUUCACAUACAGAGAUUGACAUGGAAAUUAAGUGGAAGAGUCUAGUGGCUGUUAUGAACCGAAAAUCGUCGAUAUUUUCAAAUAGAUGUCAACGAGCGUGACAAGUGUUGGGGCAAAAAAAUUGAAAUGACUCCAGUGACGUUUGCGGUACAAGAGGAAAGCAAAAAACCAAAAGCCCAGCAAGAAAAAGUAAACGAGGGAGAAAAAAUCGAAAGAUCGAUGGAAAAAUGAAUUUUCACAGAAACGGAUAAGCGACGUUACGAGGGCUCGU